UGCCCAGCAACUCCUAUCCCUACCUCCUCGUGGUACCGUCCGGAAACUAUGAGCAACCUAAGCCCGAUCUUCCCUUCCCAACCCCGGUGGGAACUUUGGUCGUAGGCUGACAGGGAAGG
rnacentral:ribozyme from 1 species